rnacentral:misc_RNA from 1 species
UAGCAACUUCCAAAAGCAAAAAUUAUUGAAAAUCAUGAGUAAGAAUAAUAUCAGUGAACAGGCUGAUGAAAGUGAGAAUUUAAAAUGUAGAGGGAAAGAAAAAAAAAAUACUAAGUUUAAAAUACAAUUCCAGUUUGAAAUUGUGAACUAAAUGGGGAAUUCUUUGCAACUGCAAAGAAGACCAAAAAAUUACCUACUCCAAGUGGUCUCAUA